AAAAAAAGGAAAUUACAGUUGUUGUACUUACACACAAUUUUAUUGUAAGCUAAUUCAGAAAUACAAUUUUGUCAUCUAACAAAUAAAUUAAUGUUUGCCCAACUCAAUAUUCUCAGAAUUUGGUCAACAAGGAAAUUUGAUUCACCAAAACAAGAUUUUUUGUUUCCCUCAACUUUCUAACAAGAUUAGAAAGAUUCUAACACAAAAAAUUAAGUUUCCUCAACUGUAUGUUCAUGGACACGCCUACUACGGGGUUUCCUUCCUGUCUCCAUGGACAUACACAGGUCUCCACGAGUCGACCGUUCUACCAUUUUCCCUCGAAGUUGAGAGGAUUGCCAGACGUGAGAUUCAUAUCAGAUAUCUAAAGAAUUUUAUAGAGUCACCAGCAAAAACCUCCAUGAAACUUGGAAUGCAUCUCUUGACAAGUAUACGUCCCGCCUGAUAAAACUUUACCGAGCCAGGAAGACAGCUUUUGGUCAAGAUUUGAAAAAGUUACUGAAUUCACUUGAUGAAGAGACGGCAGACAUUGCGCGCCAUAGAAGGACGACAGCAUUGAGAGGCCUUCCCAUUUUUGUUAGAGAGGAUGCAUCAGAGUUCUUUCUGAAGUGCAUGAACACAGACCCUGAGGAAGAGGUGGUUGGAGGAGUGGCAGUUGCCAUACUGACUGUCUAUGACGAUGAUGAUGGCACCGAAUCCCCACCAGUGACUGAAAUCAAUGUCAUCUUGGAAGGGGCAGUUAUAAAACACGACCUACCUGACCUCGCUGCUGCCUUCGCCUACCUGUUUGGCCUAAUGUAUGCAAUGGACAUAAGCUAUCCAGAGAAGAUGAGGUACACCUUUGAGGCCAUCCAGACUAUCUUUUUCGAGCUUGGUUCAAGAUGCUCGCAGCGCACGCGAUCCUUGAAAGAGAAGCUUUUGCUGUGAAGCCUGUGUAUGAUUUACACUCACACACACAUACACACGAACGCACGCACGCCCAGCUCUGUCAUCACUCCUCCAUGAACAAGCCUACACCAGCUCUUUCACACACACACACACACACACACACACACACACACACACACACACACACACACACACACACACACACACACACAAAAGGAGACUCCCUUUCAUACAUACAUCAUUGUUCUGGCAGCCCAUUGACUCUAGCAGUUAAAUGGUGGUUUACAUUGUGGUUUUAUGUUUUUGUACGUAUUGAUACAAUAGCCACAUUUACAUGAGCCUAAUGGCCUAAUGUCUUUAUCAGAGUAUUGGACAGUUAUAGCCUACACCACCUCUUACACACACACACACACACACACAAACACAAGGAGAUUCCCUUUCACAUCAUUGUUCCAGCAGCCCAUUGAUGUUGGAAAAAUAAAAACAAAUUGUAUUCAA